CUCAAUGCGUCGUGCCGAGUCCUCAUCCACUCGCCCUCUUCUCAUCCAUCCGGACUCUCCACGAUGAGAUUUGGCCUCCAGCAGGCAAUAUCACUUCCAUCCCAUACUGAAUGAGGAAGGCGUUGCCCCAGUAGAUGUACGUAUCGAAGUACGACACUCCGGAUACCAACUUCGUACUCAGCCACCAUCGUUGGUGCGUUCAAAUGUUACCGGGGAAGCACUAGCUCAUUCACUUUAAACUCUCCCCAUCAGACAUCAGAAUCCGUUCGGAUUCAGGGUCAG
rnacentral:lncRNA from 1 species